CAAUUUAAAUUUAUUAGAAUUUUAUUUUUAAGUCAAAAAGCUUAAAUUAAUUUUAAAAGAGGAGAAGACCCUAUAGAGUUUUAUAUAAAUAAUGAUUUAAAAUUAUUUGAAUUAUAUAUUAUAAAUUAUUUAUUUUAUUUUAUUGGGGUGAUGGAAAAAUUUAAAAAACUUUUUUUUUAUAAUAACAUUUAUUUAUGAAUUAUUGAUCCAUAUUAAUGAUUAUAAGAUUAAAUUACCUUAGGGAUAACAG
rnacentral:rRNA from 1 species